rnacentral:rRNA from 1 species
UACGUAGGUGGCAAGCGUUGUCCGGAUUUACUGGGCGUAAAGGGCGUGCAGGCGGUUUGUUAAGUGCAGGGUGAAAGCUCCCGGCUCAACUGGGAGAGGUCCUUGCAUACUGGCGAACUCGAGGGAGGCAGAGGAAAGUGGAAUUCCCGGUGUAGUGGUGAUAUGCGUAGAUAUCGGGAGGAACACCAGUGGCGAAGGCGGCUUCCUGGACCGGUUCUGACACUGAGGAGCGAAAGCGUGGGGAGCGAACAGG